rnacentral:lncRNA from 1 species
GCUGCCAAUUCCCCAAGCAAAGGGAAGCGAGGGGAGAGCGCGGAGCCCCCGAUUAGCGUUCGGAGGAACUGGCCUAGAGGGGCCACUCGGAGCGCAAAGGCCCCGCGAAAUAGAAUAUCUAUACGCCCAGCAACCCUCCCUUUCGAGGCGCACGGAAUAAGUUGGCUGGAACUCUCCGCUGACCGCUCCGCCUGGGACUCAGGGUUGCAGCCGCACAGAGCUUCCUCCGGGGCGCCCAGGGCGGCGCGAGCAGGAGGGGGACCCAGUGUGGCCGCGCCCGGGAACUCGGGGGACCAGGUGAGCAGGUGAGCCCGCGCCCGGGUCUGAGUGGGAUCCAGUGAGCAGUGGCAGUUUGGGAGUCUGGGCUCAUGGAAUGCCCACAUGAUCGCAUCAUGAUCGCAUCUGGUUCACAUGAUCGCAUCAUCGCCCAACAUGGGGUGGGACUUAGACUGCCUCCCUGGGGCAAGGGCAGCUCGAGAGAAAAAGCAGCAGGUGCUUUGGAAGAUAGGCUUUCAAUUCCUUCGAGGCUGCAACUUAACUCAAGAGACAGUUCCUCCCAUGGAAGCGACUGAAUCCUGUUUUUCAACACUUGUAAAGCCAGUUUCAUCCUGUCACUCUGAGAGACAUCAGCACCUACCACCCAGCACUUCCGCUUCAGAGGUUUGAGUUCCAGACCCACUGGGCUCUUGUCCAAGCUCAGAGACAUCAGCACCAACUGGCCAGUACCCUCUCCUCAAAGGUCUGGGCCCCUGUCCCUCUGAGCAGCUCAGAAACACCAGUGCCAGUGGAAGCAGCUUGCCCUCUUGUGACUGAGCUUCCUCAUCGGGAUGCACAGCAAGUCGGAUUCCCCAAGCAGAAGCUGGGCAGCCCACCUGGAAGAGGAGGCCAGGCAGGUGCUGCAGGUCGGGCUCACCAUGACACAGUGUGAGACCUCGGGCUACAACACAGGACCCGGGCGCUGCUCUGACCCCUCGUGUCUUGUGUUGCAGCCGGAGGGACGCAGGUCCGCAGCAGAGCCUGCUCCGCUUGUCCUGAGGGACUCGACACAGGGGACUGCACAGAGACCAUGGGAAAGUCCAGGCUCUGGUGGGCAGGUGGGUGGGGUGUUGGGAGAGAGGCCGACCCGGACCACCCCAGGUGUCACCCAUUCAGCCCCCUUUUUUGUCCUAGUUUCGUCUCUCCGUACACAGCUUGGCUCACCUCUGGCCCAGUGCAGGUAGCUGGUGCUGGCUGCAGGGUGACACAGCCUACUUUGGGUCUGGGCUUUGAGGAUGCCUUCUGCUCCUCACCUCCGGUCCCCAGACCAGGUGACUGAGACUCCACAAUGGGGGUAGGAGGGUAGCAAGGAAGGCAGUUUCUCCCCAAACAUCUCUCCCAUUGAUGAGAAGCCCACCACUGGACCGCCUCCAGAUCGGAAAAGCAUUGCAUUUUUAGGAGUUGUCUAUUAAAAUGUGAAUAUUUUCUGCAAGGUGGGAGAUUAAACCACUGUAGGCAUUAGCUGGUUUCAUUGAAGACAUUACUGCCAACAUGACAGAGACUCCAGAAGGAAAUGAAAUCAGAUCAUGAACUCCCAAUAGGGAAGAAGCCCCAGAAGAGGACCCUAAAACUGGAGGUGAGAGGUGUGAAAAGCAAGGUUCCUUCACCUGUGCAGGCUGUCACAGCACUGGGGUGGGAGCUUGGAUGCAGGGUCCGCUGAGUGACUCUGCCUUCACAGCUGAGGACUAUGGCUCGAAUUUCCCCAAAGAGCCUGCUCUUGGGGCAGCACCCUUCAAUCAGAUUCAGAUGAGCCCCUGGCCCCCAGGACUACCUGCAUGUUACUUUCCACACCAACCCUGUGUCCUAGAUAGAAAGGAUCCAUUUAUUCCCUUGCUUUUCACCAGCCUCAUGGUGUUCACAGUGCCUCCUCUUUUACAAGAAAUGAGCUAGUUUUAAAAUGUAAUUGGUGCAGUGUUUUUCCUUCUCUUGAAUGAUCUGGAGGGAACUAGCAUAAAAUGACAUUUUAUGGUCAUUUUAGGCUGCACUUAAGUGAAAACUGAGGGGAAAGCCGGGAAGUUGAGCGGAUCGAGAUGCAGGGAAGGCUCUGGGUCAUGUGUCACCAUCAUGGCCUGAACAACCCAGCAGGAUCCACUACAGAACAGAUCAGGUUAAGGCAGACAUGCUGUCUUCUGUGUGGGAAACCUGGAAACUGUCUUUUUUUUUCUUAUUAUACUUUAAGGUUCAGGGUACAUGUGCACAAUGUGCAGGUUUGUUACAUAUGUAUACAUGCGCCAUGUUGGUGUGCUGCACCCAUUAACUCUUCAUUUAACAUUAGGUAUAUCUCCUAAUGCUAUCCCUCCCCCUCCCCCAACCCCACAACAGGCCCCAGUGUGUGAUGUUCCCCUCCCUGUGUCCAUGUGUUCUCAUUGUUCAAUUCCCAACUAUGAGUGAGAGCAUGCGGUGUUUGGUUUUUUGUCCUUGUGAUAAUUUGCUGAGAAUGAUGGUUUCCAGCUUCAUCCAUGUCCCUACAAAGGAGAUGAACUCAUCCUUUUUUAUGGCUGCAUAGUAUUCCAUGGUGUAUACAUGCCACAUUUUCUUAAUCCAGUCUAUCAUUGUUGGACAUUUGGGUUGGUUCCAAGUCUUUGCUAUUGUCAAUAGUGUCACAAUAAACAUACGUGUGCAUGUGUCUUUAUAGCAGCAUGAUUUAUAAUCCUUUGGGUAUAUACCCAGUAAUGGGAUGGCUGGGUAAAAUGGUAUUUCUAGGUCUAGACCCCUGAGGAAUCCCCACACUGACUUCCACAAUGGUUAAGCUCGUUUACAGUCCCACCAAUAGUGUAAAAGUGUUCCUAUUUCUCCACAUCCUCUCCAG